GUGUGUGUGGUGUGUCACAGUCUAUAUCGUCAAUAUCCUGAUGUAGGAAUGUAGGUGUGGUUAAUGGUCUGACCUACAGUCUUCUGUAAGUAUUUCUGCACGCAGGGCAUCACGCAGCAAACCAGGAAGAGAAAGAGAAUUACCACAGUAAGAACCGCCAUACCUACUUGAAGGAGAGUUUUCUGCCAACCACUCAUCCAACCAAACCAUCUGUCCC